UCGUUUCACAUUCUCUUAUUCUUUUGGUCUCUGUUACUUCUUUCUUCUAUACACGCUAUUUUUCUUGACUCUCCUAUUACAGUGCCUUGAAUCUUACGACUGUGCGCAAUGAAAUCUGACGAAAGAGCACACGCCUG